UACGUAGGGUGCGAGCGUUGUCCGGAUUUAUUGGGCGUAAAGAGCUCGUAGGCGGUUUGUCGCGUCGGCCGUGAAAUCUCCACGCUUAACGUGGAGCGUGCGGUCGAUACGGGCAGACUUGAGUUCGGUAGGGGAGACUGGAAUUCCUGGUGUAGCGGUGAAAUGUGUAGAGAUCGGGAGGAACACCGGUGGCGAAGGCGGGUCUCUGGGCAUCUCCUGACGCUGAGGCGCGAAAGCGUGGGGAGCAAACGGG
rnacentral:rRNA from 1 species